GAUGAUGUUAACAACCAGCCCAGCCUGUCCCCAUCCCACAGCCCCCCUGCAUCAGGAGAACCUGAUCAAGAGAACCAAACAGAACCAACCAAAACCUUUUCUCACUGUUGUCUGGACUGUGGGAAAGAGUUUUCCCGCCCAUGUGACCUGGUGAGUUUGAUGGGUUUUAUUUGCCUGUUUAAAAAAAUGACAUGUACACACAGUACAUGAAACGUGACGGGAUAACACAAAACAAGUCAACUUAUUUCCAUUGUGUUCCAUAAGGUGAGACACCAGAGAGUACACACAGGGGAGAAGCCCUACCCCUGUCCUGACUGUGGCAAGAGGUUCGCCCACUCAGGAGGCCUCCGAGAACAUGAGAGGAUACACUCCGGAGAGAAGCCUCACUCCUGCUCUGUUUGUGGGAAGAGCUUCACCCAGAAGGGAAGUCUUAGAGUUCACCUACGGACACACACGGGGGAGAGACCUUAUUCUUGCUCCGUCUGUGGCAAGAGUUACACCCAAAAUGAAUUUUUGAAAGUGCACCAGCGAACACACACGGGAGAGAGGCCCUACUCCUGUUCUGUGUGUGGCAAGGGCUUUGCUCAGAUAGGAAACUUGAAGAAACACCAGCGGAUUCACACCGGGGAGAAGCCGUAUCAGUGCCUGGAGUGUGGCGCCAGUUUCACCCAGAAGGACAGCCUGAAGAUGCACCAGAGGUUAUUUAUUUCAUUCUUGUUUUCAUUUGAUCUCCUUGUUGUUUUACUGUAAAAUCUGUUUCAAGUUUAAAUGCACUUUGAAUCAAGUAUGAUUUGAUUUAGGUCUCAUACGGGAGAGAAACCCUGCGUCUGCCCCGAGUGCGGGAAGGGUUUCCGCGACAACGGGCACCUGAAAGUCCACUUGAGAGUGCAUACAGGUGAGAAGCCGUACUCCUGCCCUGACUGUGGGAGACGGUUCAGCCAGGCGGACGUCCUGAAGAGACACCAGAUGGUGCAUACAGGGGAGAAGCCGUACUUCUGUGCCCUGUGUGGGAGGAGGUUCGCCCAGCCUGCCACUCUGAAGUACCACCUCCGGACCCACGCAAGAGAGAACCAGACAGGAGGGUCUCAAUGCUGCCCAGUGUGUGGACAGGACCUCCCUACAGAGCAGGCUCUGAGAAAACACCUGCAGACACACAUGGGGGAGGACCUCGGUCACAAUGGGGGACAGGAAGACGGGGAGGAGGAAGUUGGUGGUCUGAUCAAUUCUGAUGGAGAGGACGUCGGCUGGGACCCUUCUCAUCUUAGAGAGGGUCCUGUCCAUGGCUCUGGUAGUGAAGAAAGUCCUCCUACAUCAGACAUCAACAAGAUUCUGGGUGACCAAUCCAGAUCCAAACCCAGGUCACCUGACGACAGAGAGGCCUUCAGUCAGACACUGGGGAUGAACAUUAAAGUAGUGGAGGAGGAGGAGCUGGAGGACUUGAGUCAAACUGUUGGGGUGACGGUUAAAGAAGAAGAGGACGAGGUGGAGCUGGAGGACUUGAGUCAAACUGUUGGGGUGACGGUUAAAGAAGAAGAGGACGAGGAAGUCAGCAGAUUCAUUCAGUCCCCAGUAGAAGAAGUGGACUGGGAGGCUGUUGAACUUAGAGAGAGUCCUAACCAGUGCUCAGACGGUGAGGAGAGACCUCCCCAGCAGGAGAAUCACACAGCUAAAGACCAUCACCACACAGAGAACACAAUCCUCACUCCUGCUCUGACUCUAUUUCAAGGACCUGAUCAAAGCUAUUGAUUAUUAAAUAAUUAGGUUCAUUAGCUACUGUAUUGCAGAUAUUUAAUAAUUGUGUUUGAUUUAAUAAAUCAUGGUUGCAACAACCUGCCAAUCAUUAUGAACUGGGUGGUUUGAGUCUUGAAUGCUGAUUGGCCUGGUAUAUCAUAUAGUAUACAAAGGGUAUUUUUAAUUUAACUAGGUGAGUCACUGCCUUGUUCAGGGGCAGAACGACAGAUUUUUACCUUGUCAGCUCGGGGAUUCGAGCUUGUAACCUUUCGGUUACUGGUCCAACGCUCUAACCCCUAGGCUACCUGCAGUAUGACAAAACAUAGACUUUUACUGCAUUAAUUACAUUGGAAACCAGUUUAUAAUAGCUAUAAGGCACCUCGGGGGUUGUGGUAUAUGGCCAAUAUACCACAGCUAAUGACUGUAUCCAGGCACUCCGGCGUUGCGCCGUGCAUAAGAACAGAAUUUAGCCGUGGUAAAUUUGCAAUAUACCACACCCCUUCUGACCUUAUAGACCAUUCAAUCUGUUAAUUUAGCCUAUGUUGACCAGACGUCCCAGAUUUUGGUGGCCAGUACCCGGAUAUAGCCGUCCCAGAAAAUGUCCCUGAUUUGGCUUCAGAAAGAAAAACAACAACUUUGAAGUUAAAUUGAGGCUGAUAUUUCCAUAAAAUGAUGGCUAUCCUAUCCCUGUCCCAAGAUCGUUUGCUCCCGCAGCUUUGCCCACGGGCCUUUUAUGACAACGUUUGAUUAGUGAUACAUUAACCAUCACAUGAACAGCCAUGUCAGGAUUUUGGUGACAGAUUCAUUUUCAAGAGAAUAUUCUAAAAUCUUCAUAAAAGCAAUAUGCCAUUUCAGAGUUUCCUUUAGGAAAAGUAGGCGCUGGACACCACGACAGGGAAUUUGCCGGACAUUUUCGGAAUGUAACGGACAUCCAUACACAUUCAGAUCCAACCUGGCGCAAUCAGC
rnacentral:lncRNA from 1 species